rnacentral:miRNA from 1 species
CAAUUAUCCACAAAUAUUUUCGGAUUCAAUUUGUCGGUAGAGACAAUUCAUGAAUUGUCUCUACCGAUAACAACAAUAACAAUAACGAAAACGCCA